ACCUGUGGCAUAUGGAAGUUCCCAGGCUAGGGGUCAAUUAAAACUGCAGCAGCCAGCCUACCCCACAGCCAUAGCAGUGCCGGAUCCGAGUCACAUCUGUGACCUACUUCACAGCUCAGGGCAACACCAGGUCCUUAACCUACUGAGCGAGGCCAGGGACCGAACCGUAUCCUUAUGCUUACUAGUGGGGUUCAUUACCACUGAGCCAUGACACAGGAAUUCCAAAAAUCAGGUUUUAUGUUCAAGAAAAUCUUACUGCCUUUCUGUUUGUUUUAGAAACGUGAUUGUACUGAUUGGUCCCCUUUGAUUGCCACUAAGAGAAUCAGAAGCAGCUUCAAGGAAGUGGGCAUUUUGCUAAGGACACCAGGGUCUCUUCUCAUGGAUUAUAGGGAAGUGUGGGGUAGCUGGGCCUUCGGUGCUGGAAGACAAAGUGAGCAAACAAACAAACCAAAAACCCACAAUCCAUGGUGUAUCUGGGUUUGAGUCACAAACGGGACUGCUCCCACCUGUGUGGCUAGGCAAUUUCCAGAAAAACAGAUGCUGAGUAGGCAGUCCAGUGCAUGUCUCUACUGAGGUUGUACCAAGGGUGUGUGAUUGCAUCUUUACUUGUACUUCUGUUGAAGAUCUCGUGAUCAUUAGUGCUAAUAUUGCUGGAGGAGAAAAAUUAAUUAGGAUGUCUAUAGUUCUGAUGUGGUAAUUUCUGCUUGCAAGGCUCAUUAACAUCUUUGCUCAGAAUGAUCAGUUCUCUUGUGGUUGGAAGAUGCUAUAAUAACCCAAUGUGUGGAGCCAUUCUUCAGCUUGUUCUUAUUUCUUCUUCAAACCUCUCUUCAGCUUGUUUCCACGAGUUGACCUCCCCCAGGGGGGCCUGGGUGGUCCAGCAGAGCUAAGUCACAGGGUCUGUCCCUUUUGUGAUAAGAUUUGCCGAGCGAGGAUCUUGAACUCGGAGUCGUGUUGGGUGACGCUGAUGCGGUGGUUCAAGAAGCAGAUGAGAAAACAUUUGUAAGGUUGAUGUCAGAGAAUGUUUUGCCUAUGUUCUCUCCCAGGAGUUGGAUGGUGUCUUGUCUUAUAUUGAAGUCUUUAAGCCAUUUUGAGUUUAUUUUUGUGCAUGGUGUGAAGGUGUGUUCUAGUUUCAUUGAUUUGCAUGCAGCUGUCCGGGUUUCCCAGCAAUCCUUGCUGGAAAGACUGUCUUUUUCCCAUUUUAGAAAAUCAUGGACUUGGAGAAUAGACUUGUGGUUGCUUAGGGGGAGGGAGUGGGAUGGAUGGGGAGCUUGGGGUUAAUAGAUGCAAACUAUUGCCUUUGGAAUGGAUUAGCCAUAAGAUCCUGCUCUGUAGCACUGAGAACUAUGUCUAGUCACUUGUGAUGGAGCAUGAUAAUGGGAGAAAAUAGAAUGUGUACAUGUGUAUGUAACUGGGUCACCAUGCUGUACAGUAGAAAAAAAAAUGUAUUGGGAAAAUAACAAUUAAAAAACACUUAAAAAAAAAAGAAGCAGCAGAUGAGGCGCCUCCUAUAACAGUGAAUUGAAUUUAUUUUUUUAUUUUUAUUUUUUAUUAUUAUCUUUUUUUCUUUUAUUGUCCCACUGUACAGCAAGGGGAUCAAGUUAUCCUUACAUGUAUACAUUUUUUUUCCCCACCGUUUGUUCUGUUGCAACAUGAGUAUCUAGACAUAAUUCUCAAUGCUACUCAGCAGGAUCUUAAACCAGUGAAUUUAAAAUGCUAAUGCCAUGGAGUUCCCAUUGUGGCGCAGCAGAAGUGAAUCUGACUGGUAUCCAUGAGGACGAAGGUUCCAUCUCUGGCCUUGCUCAGUGGGUUGACAGAUCCAGUGUUGCCAUGAGCUGUGGUGUAGAUCACAGACUUGGUUCGGAUCCCAUGUUGCUGUGGCUGUGGUGUAGGCCAGCAGCUGUAGCUCUAAUUUGACCCACCCCUAGCCUGAGAACUUCCAUAUCACUGGGGUACAGCCCUAAAAAGCCAAAAAAAAAAAAAAAAAAAAAAGCUAAUGUUUUAAACAUAAAUGUUCUUAAUUGCUCACUCUGUACCAGGCCUAAUGCUACCCCCUGGAGAGAGCGCUGCAUACAAGACAUGCUUCUUGCCUCUUUUGAGGUUAGAAUCUGUCAGGGAAUGCAGACAGAAAAAAAAAAAAAAAAAAAAAAAAAAA
ensembl:lncRNA